rnacentral:rRNA from 1 species
UACGGGGGGGGCAAGCGUUGUUCGGAAUUACUGGGCGUAAAGGGCUCGUAGGCGGCCAACUAAGUCAUACGUGAAAUCCCUCGGCUUAACCGGGGAACUGCGUCUGAUACUGGAUGGCUUGAGUUCGGGAGAGGGAUGCGGAAUUCCAGGUGUAGCGGUGAAAUGCGUAGAUAUCGGAAAGAACACCAACGGCGAAAGCACUCUGCUGGGCCGACACUGACACUGAGAGACGAAAGCUAGGGGAGCAAAUGGG